UUCUAUCAUAUAUAUUGCAGAAUUUUAGUUUAAUUCUUUUAGAUUUUUUUUAAAAAUAAAUUCAGCUAAAAAUAUAAAGCAAUUAGGCUUUAAUUUGAAUGAUCUCAAGAAUCAACAAUUGAUCUAUAGCCAACUGGACUAGAUGCGAUCGACUAAUAUUUAUUUUAAAGCAUCAUUUACUGAAUGUUAAAUACGGUGCAUAACCGACCGUCCCUAGAGCAAGUGGCAAAGGGCUUGGUGGUUGGUACCUGAAUUUUCAAGUUCGAAUACUAGUUGAUUCACAUUUCCAGCUAAGUUUAUUUCUCAAUGAAAUAAAUGAAGUAGGUAGCGUGCUACCUUUCUCUCUAAAAA
rnacentral:lncRNA from 1 species